UCUCAGUUCAUACGGUGAUUCUUUCCCAUGCUGACACAUCUGUUUUCUGGAGGAGACCGGCCUUCUCGCAUCGGUCGCCUCUGGAUAGGGUUUGUCGCUGCCGGGCCGGGCCUCUGGUCGCCGUCGCAGCCACUGCGGCCACCGGCCGUGCACCCUCGCGUCACUACCCACGCCCUUCUUCCACCUCUGCUUGGGCAAGGGGAUCAUCUGUGCGCACUCCUCUUGCCGUUCGUGCAGCCCGCAUCGUCGUCGGCAUGGCGCCCCACAAGGUCGUCGGACUCCAAACGGUGCCGCAAGUGUGAGUCCAUGGCCUCCCCCGUGCCAAGGCUGCUCUCCAAGCCUUGCAUCUCCAACCAGGUCAGCCUGGUGUACGCGUUUGUGGGCACCUCGCCACCAUCACAUGUAUGCACACUACACCUCGGAAGGCAUGGAUGGCAGCUCAUUUCGAACUUUUUCACUCAAUCCGUUCCAAGCUCUGGAUAUAGGUUCAGAUGUGGUUUCAGAACAGGUGAACAAUACCUGGCGAAGUGAUUGUGUUUCAGAUUUAAAAAAAAGGUGAUUGGGUUUGAGUAGCAAUUGUGGAGCUGGCGGCCCAUAUGAAGUGCUUCAUGGACACUUUGGUGUAGAUUUCAAUUUGGGAAUAUGUAUAAUAUUAUGUGUACUCAACUAGACUGCUAUUCAACAAUUAUUUCUUUUUCUUUGCAAUAUGAUUCACUUUUUACUGAUCUCUCUAAACAUUUAUGUUCAGUAGCAAUUGUGGAGCUAGCAGUUCAGAUUAAGUGCUUCAUGAAGACGUUGUUCUAGUUUUCAGUUUGGGAAUGUGUAUAAAUAUCCUGUGUACCGAA